rnacentral:rRNA from 1 species
UACGUAGGCAGCGAGCGUUGUUCGGAGUUACUGGGCGUAAAGGGUGUGUAGGCGGUUCUCUAAGUUUGGUGUGAAAUCUCCCGGCUCAACCGGGAGGGUGCGCCGAAAACUGGAGGGCUAGAGUGCGGGAAGGGAGAGUAGAAUUCCUGGUGUAGCGGUGAAAUGCGUAGAUAUCAGGAGGAAUACCGGUGGUGCAGACGGCUCUCUGGACCGUGACUGACGCUGAGACACGAAAGCGUGGGUAGCAAACAGG